UUUUUUCCUUUUUUUUUUUUUUUUUUUUUUGUUGCUGGCUAUCAUCAUAAAGGCUACCAAUUUUAUGUCUGUCUGCACCAACCUGAAUACAGCCCAUUGGUCAAACCUUGGGGCUGUCAUGUGACGGCUGUAGAAUCUGGAGAGUGAUUCUGAUAGUAGCACUUUCUGGAGACCCUAAUUGUCUGACUUCCAUGGCUUAGGAGAAUGGACUCCAAUGCCUUCAUCAAUACAAGUCAAACUUUAAUGUCUGACCUCCGUGUGGCUUGGGGGAACAGGCUCCAAUGACUUUGUCAAUACGACUCAGAUGAGUAAGAAGUCAGAGGGGUUUGAGGAUCAUCUGAAGCCCCGUCUUCGAGUCAAUGACAGGGCUAUGUGGUUAUAGUCCAGACUCCAUGACUUUCCUGUAAAACGCAGUCUGACAGUAGUAAUAGCUGUUUCAAUGCUCUUGAGUAUCGAGUAACAUGCUCGGUAGUGUCCACUUAAGAAUUAUAUCCAGCACAGAAUGAUAUGGGGGCAAAAAAAGAACGAAUUCUCCGACCAUCCCUCCCCCACUACAGUCUCAGAGUAACUGCCUGUAAGAACAGACGGGCAUCAAGAAAAUCUUGGAACUAACCCCUCAUCUUCAACUCUAACACCUCCCUCUCGUCCUCAACACUUUCUCAGUAUACAAACUCUACGGCUGUAGAUGGCUUUAUACGGCUAUAAAGGAGAAGCAGAAGGGAGAUUUUAGGGUGAUGGACCCAUCUGGAUCCUGAUUAUGGAACUUACCAUAAUUGAUAUAAUGUCUGACAUUCACAGAAGCACGCGCCUCCUCCUUAGGCUUGUCGCAUCCUAUCCUAAUUAAAAAACAAGUAACAAUGAAGCCCCACACCCUAUUGGCUGGGUCCUUUCUCUUGUUCCUUUAUGAAAAUGUGAACGUCCCUGUGUGAUUCCCUUCUGCCCAGGGCCCUCCUGCAGCUCAUCCGUUCACCCACUCAGCACUCUUCAGUGGAACUUUCUGUGAGAGCUCACAGGUAGAUGAGGAGGCAGUGGCUUCUGCUUUCAAGGGAUUUAGAGCAGAUGUGGGAUCAGGAGCGCAGUGCUGCAACCAUCUCAGUGUUGGGUGGAGCACAGGGGUAUGAGAGCCUCUGGUGUCUUCAUUUUAUCACAUCACCCAUGCAGCACUCCAGGUGCGGUCAUUCUCAGAAGGCUCCGUGUCACCUUUGUUCCACAGUAUAUCAGCUCACCUAAAGUGCCAGAGAUAUAUAGCCAGGCCAGGCAAAAACUCAAGUGCUGACUUCCAUUGCCAGUAAACCAUGCUCUCCGUGUAUUGCUAAUGAAAGGUACAUUUGUAUUAAAAUCAAAUAAUUAAAGGAUGGACAAUAUUUUGGGUCCCCUUUAAAGGGCUAAUUAGUCCUAACCAAUUUCCCUGCUUCAGUGAAUCAGAAUCAAGUAUAUAGGUGUGGUACAUUUUUGCUGGAGUGCUAUACUCACAUGCUCCAUGUAUUCUAAAGCUGGCUUAUGAUGUUGAUGGAUAUUGAUGGACACAAAGCCCCUCUCAGUGAGCCCAGCCCUCCCAGCCGGCCCUGCCUCUUCUCUGGCAUAUAUGGGGGCUAUAGGGGCUGCCUGAACAGAAUGCUUUGACCUAGGAAUUCUUUCAUUGGAAGCAGUGUCUGCUCAUGCCUACACAUUAUGACAAGAAUAAUUAUAAAUUCUAACAUCUGUGUCUCUGCACCCUGUGCAGUCAUCAAAUAACUAAGUUUAAUGGUUAAAUCCUCUUUACAUGGAGGGAUUUUUUUUUCUUUCCUUCUUCUGAAAGAAACUGUGUUCCUGAAAGCAUUGCCCAUUGUCUUUUCUUGUUCCAUUAAAGAAACAUGCGAUCUCAUGGCAUAUACUGGUGGGGGCUGGAGAGCACAGUGGACAAAUUUAUAUUUGGUCGUAGUCAGCAUAGAAAGUCAUAAUUGAAACAGGGCCUGAGGGGACAUUAAAACACAACUGAGGGAUGUUGCACACGUUCGUGGCGACUUUGGUGUCAUUAGCUCACACCAGCCACUCUAAAUGGAUAAUUUAUGCUGCCAGAUGGUCCUUUUUGGGGAUUUUCCAUCAAGCCCAAUCCCCUUUUUGGCACAGAGAACACCUUUAUGUUGUUCCCACACUUAUCCGGGCCUCCAUAGCUUGUCCCCAGGGGUACAGUUAAUUAAAUGGGAGGCUUUUAGUAGUUCACUCAUGUAAAUUGCCUUCAGAAAUAUGUUGGGAAUUAUGUAUAUCCCAAAUGCAUGGACAGCCUGCUCUUGGGAUAAUUCUCUCAAACAAGUAAGAAGGGCACUGGGUUUAUGCUUUUGAUGUGACACAGAAAGCAAGGAUGUACUCAUGCCCCCCUCAGAGAGCCUGGCAUCUAGGGGUCUGCCCUCACUAGGUUUCUGGGACCGCCGAACUACAGAGGCCUAUAAAUGACCAGAAAGGGAGCCAGGCGAGACAUCCUUGAACGACAGGAAGAUGUUGGAAAGUGAAACAAACGGUCCAGACAUCCAAUAAACUACAUGCAUAUUUUUCAAACAUAUUUCAUAGUGUCCCAUUCCUCAUUAGUUUGUCUCUGCACUUUUGGUGCACAGGAAACAUUGCUCAUUUCAAACCCUAGGCAGUCUUGGGCUGACUCCUGCUUCUCCUGGUGCUAUGUCUGUUCCCUCCACUUGGUUCCAUUUCCCAGCUGUCUCAAAACUUGGUUGGGUUAGAUCUAUAUAGCCAUGCACUGGGAUAUGAGCCCUGGGAAACUACCCGUCAAAAAUCACAUACUCUCAAUGGCUGUUAAGCUACACAGGUGAAAAGUUGCCAGUGAGCCAAAAAUGCAAAUGACCAAGAAGGAAAGCUGCAGGCAGCACUUCAUUGGCUGAGGCAAAGUUCUGGUUGCACCUGAGAACCUGCAGUGCAUCAAGGUUGUUUUUCAAUUGAUGCCGGGUUGUUUGUUUGUUUUGAGAACAUCGCACUGAUGGUGUAUAUGUGUACAGGAUCUGUCUUUCAAACUAAAGUUGACUCCAAAGUCUGAGUUUGCUUUUUUAUUUAACCUUUUUAGCAUGACUACUUAUGCUAAUAUUUCAAGGUCUUAUUUUCUAGACUCAUGUUUAAGUUUAAAAAAUCAUAAUAAAGAUAGUAAAUAACUCAAUAGAAAGAUCUUAAAAUUCCCCAUUUUCCUUAUUUUGGCCUCUUAUCAUAUAACCUAGGUCAGGGGAAAAAAAGAUAUAGCCUACUAAAUGCACGGAGAAGAGAAUAUAUAAGCAAAGUAUUAACUAUUAAUGGUGAAAUAUUUGCUGUGUCAUCCAUAAAAUUCAAUAAUCCUCAGCCCUUAAGACUUGUUUAAAUGCUACGUCAGAGAGGCCCGUAGUGACCUAAAUAGCUGCUGCCCUUGUAUCCAACACCUCCUCCCUCGUAGACCCUCUUGCCUUGUCCAGGCUCCAUCUAUCUUUCUCCCCUAGAAUAUGCACUCCUUGAGACUGUGACUUAUCCCAUCUUUUACAUGGCCAUAUCCUUAAAACCCUCAACAAUGUGUAGAACAUAAUAGAUGUUCAAUAAAUAUUGACUGAAUGAGUGAAUGAAGCAGAGAGAUGGGAGCUUUCUUAUAUACCCAGAAGCAGCAUUUGCUGCCAACAGUCUUAUAAAAAAGUGGUAUUUCCUAUAUUUUAAACCUGCAGGCUUCCAGUUAAAUCUAAUUAAUAGCAAAUAGUAGGAAGGAUAAUGGCCAUGGCUCAGCCAAGCAUCUCAUUGAUCAGGAGUAGGACCCUGAACUGCAUUCCAACUACCCUUCUCCUUAACGGAUAUGAUACGUGAUAUAAGAUGAUAAUGACACACUUAAUGAUAUGGAUAGCUCAAAAUAACCAAACAUAAGGAGCUUGCAUGUCCCUAUGACUAUGACAAAGAAAUGGCAAAUGCUUGAGGUGACUUCCUGACUCCAUACAUCAAAACACCACACCCUACCUCCAUAAAUAUGCAUAGUUGUUCAUCAAUAAAAUAUGUCUAUAUUGCUU
rnacentral:lncRNA from 1 species